GCUAACAGUUAAUAAUCACACGUGAGAGCACUAACUCAACACAAACAGGUCGUACAAGCUCACGAGAAAAGACCGGCUCUACAAAAACAUCCAGAGGAUGCAGCAAACCCACGGCUUUCAAAACUUCCACAUCGUACCCCAGACCUUUGUGCUUCCUGCAGAGUACCAGGAAUUCAGCACAAAGACAAGGGCGUGUGGAUCAUCAAACCAGUGGUGUCCUCCAGGGGCA